rnacentral:sRNA from 2 species
GACCGAACACCGCCUAAUCACCGCGCGGCGUGCAGUCCCGGCGCCCGGGGUGUACCGGGGACCCACCGCAGUUCUGGGGUGAGUUCUCCCGCGGCCGGCUCGCCGGUGCGUGGGGGAUAGGGCCAGUCUUCCCAGCCCGAACCCGUCAGCUAACUCGGUCGGCGGUAGCUGAGGAAGAAA